AUUGAACGCUGGCGGCAUGCUUUACACAUGCAAGUCGAACGGUAACAGGUUAAGCUGACGAGUGGCGAACGGGUGAGUAAUGCAUCGGAACGUGCCCAGUCGUGGGGGAUAACGCAGCGAAAGCUGCGCUAAUACCGCAUACGAUCUGAGGAUGAAAGCGGGGGACCGUAAGGCCUCGCGCGAUCGGAGCGGCCGAUGUCAGAUAGGUAGUUGGUGGGGUAAAGGCUCACCAAGCCAACGAUCUGUAGCUGGUCUGAGAGGACGACCAGCCACACUGGGACUGAGACACGGCCCAGACUCCUACGGGAGGCAGCAGUGGGGAAUUUUGGACAAUGGGCGAAAGCCUGAUCCAGCAAUGCCGCGUGCAGGAAGAAGGCCUUCGGGUUGUAAACUGCUUUUGUACGGAGCGAAAAGGCCUCCUCUAAUACAGGGGGCUCAUGACGGUACCGUAAGAAUAAGCACCGGCUAACUACGUGCCAGCCGCCGCAGUAA
rnacentral:rRNA from 1 species